rnacentral:snRNA from 1 species
UUAUUUACCUGGCAGGGGAGAUACCAUGAUCAUGAAGGUGGUUUUCCCAGAGCAAUGCUUAUCCAUUGCACUCCAGAUGUGCUGACCCCUGCGAUUUCCCCAAAUGUGGGAAACUCGACUGCAUAAUUUGUGGUAGUGGAGACUAUAUUCACUCUCUC